UACGGGGGGAGCAAGCGUUGUUCGGAUUUACUGGGCGUAAAGGGCGGGUAGGCGGCCACCGCAGGUCAGUUGUGAAAUCUCUGGGCUUAACCCAGAAAGGUCAACUGAUACUGCGGGGCUAGAGUGCAGAAGGGGCAACUGGAAUUCUCGGUGUAGCGGUGAAAUGCGUAGAUAUCGAGAGGAACACCUGCGGCGAAGGCGGGUUGCUGGGCUGACACUGACGCUGAACUGCGAAAGCUAGGGGAGCGAACGGG
rnacentral:rRNA from 1 species